AUCGAGAUUUGUGAAUGAAGAUCGAAGGGUAUAUAAGUUGGAUCUGCAUUAUAGACUUGUUUGAUGGCGGAAUUUGUAAAUCAAAAGAAGAUUGAGAUGAUGUAUAAGUUGUUGAAGAAUACGAAGGAGAAAGGACACCCCAUCACCCCAGCCUGUUGCGCAAACGUGCAACACUUUGAUCAAGGAGAAAAUCUACCAUGGGAUGGUGGUCCACCUUGUCGGGUGGCCCACCACACACCCCCGAGGUUUGUGGGCCACCAGUCGAGGUGGCACCUAGACCUGGUGUGACUGCCCCAUGGAAGAUUUUCUCCUGAUCAAGAUUAUGUGAUCAGGAAAUCAAACAAGUUGAUCAAUCAGUAGUGGCAUUUAAUUGACCAUUUUAUGUUUGUAAAGAGAUAAUGAAGCUAUACGAGUUUUGCAGUUUUGGAGGAGAAGUUGUUGCUAAGAAAUGGUAGAAAAGGGAACGAUGGAGCCUCAACUUGGUUACAAGAUUUUUCCUAGGUAGUAAAAGGCUAGCAUCCGAAAUUGAUGAAUCAACCCUGUCAGGGCUGAUGAUUCCAUUGCUCGAGCAAAUGACAUUUUGGUCUAUCGAUUGUAUUUCUGUUACCUAAAUACUUUUAUCUCUAAUAUGUUCAAAGAGAAAUGCUAUUUGUACAUUUCGGUGUACUCUCGCCUCACAAGAGGGGACCUGCAUCCAAUAAAAAAUGCAUGG
rnacentral:lncRNA from 1 species